rnacentral:rRNA from 1 species
UACGAAGGGGGGCUAGCGUUGCUCGGAAUGACUGGGCGUAAAGGGCGCGUAGGCGGCUUGCACCGUCAGAUGUGAAAUUCCUGGGCUUAACCUGGGGGGCUGCAUUUGAUACGUGUGGGCUUGAGUGUGGAAGAGGGUCGUGGAAUUCCCAGUGUAGAGGUGAAAUUCGUAGAUAUUGGGAAGAACACCGGUGGCGAAGGCGGCGACCUGGUCCGUGACUGACGCUGAGGCGCGAAAGCGUGGGGAGCAAACAGG